GCGCGCCGGGGCUGGCAGGGACCUGGCUUGCUUAGGGUGUCUGGUUCCAGGCGGGUCCGAGGCUGGUGACCACCUCGUUGGCAGGGCACCAGGCUCAGACCUCCCGGCACCAGCGGUGGUACAGCGGUGCCCAUCUGCUCCCUGCCACCUCCGCCAAAGAUGGGUCCUGGGGUGAAGGGAAAAGGCACACACCAGGCGCCACGGCAGGUGAACUCGUCCACAAGUCCGCCCCGGAUGCAAGGACCUUGAGAUCCUGGGGCCGCCGCCGCUGGGAGGCGAGGCGCUGAGUGGGAAAGAACUAAACCCGGUGUUUGAGUACCCUGCAGGGAUCACCUGAAGAAAAAGUGCUGGAAUAGCCAUGAAGCCAGGCAUUCGCAACUGUGAUCCAUAUCCAGUGGAUUGAGAAGAAAGAGUAAGCAAUGGAGGCUGAGCCUAUGAGAAGCCUGAAGACACAGGAAAUAUACUAUUACCUAAGGAAUGGUUGAAUUCAUCAUGUAGUCCAAAGGCUGUAGAAUAUUGAGAUGGGAUUGUGACAGAACUGAAGAGGUCAUAAUAAACCACAGGUCCUGGACUUGAAGACCAGUAUCUCACUUCUGUGUGCGGUGGCUGGAAAUGACCGGUUGUCUCCCAUUGAAGUUAUGUGAGGAUUGGUUGGAUCAUGUGCUAUGAGUAUUUCCUUUGGAUAUCACGGAGUAAAGGUAUGAGUGUGUGUGUGUGAGUGUGUGUGUGUGUGUGUGUGUGUGUGUCUUCAUUAUAUAUGAGAAAUUUUAAACCUCAAGAAAAUAUAGAUGGAAGUCCACUUACUUUUCAUGUGGGGGACUGCUGGCCUACUGUGCCCCAGAAAAUUCAUAUAACCUUUGGUUGGCUUGUUUUGCCCAGUGAUUUUUGAGAUAAUAAAAAUUAUGUUGUUCUUCC